rnacentral:rRNA from 1 species
CCUACGGGCGGCUGCAGUGAGGAAUAUUGGUCAAUGGGCGCGAGCCUGAACCAGCCAAGUAGCGUGAAGGAUGACUGCCCUACGGGUUGUAAACGUCUUUUAUAAAGGAAUAAAGUGAGGCACGAGUGCCGUUUUGUAUGUACGUUAUGAAUAAGGAUCGGCUAACUCCGUGCCAGCAGCCGCGGUAAUACGGAGGAUCCGAGCGUUAUCCGGAUUUAUUGGGUUUAAAGGGAGCGUAGAGGGGUUGUUAAGUCAGUUGUGAAAGUUUGCGGCUCAACCAUCAAAUUGCAAUUGAUACUGGCAGUCUUGAGUACAGUUGAGGUAGGCGGAAUUCGUGGUGUAGCGGU